AACGAACGCUGGCGGCGUGCUUAACACAUGCAAGUCGCGCGAGAAAAUGGGGGCAACCCCAUGAGUACAGCGGCGCACGGGUGAGUAAUACGUAGGUAAUCUACCUUCAGGACCGGGAUAACCUUCCGAAAGGAGGGCUAAUACUGGAUAAGACCACGGAGCUUAGGCUCUGCGGUUAAAGGUGGCCUCUGCUCGCAAGCUACCACCAAAAGAUGAGCCUGCGCACCAUUAGCUAGUUGGCGAGGUAACGGCUCACCAAGGCGAAGAUGGUUAGCUGAUCUGAGAGGAUGAUCAGCCACACUGGGACUGAGACACGGCCCAGACUCCUACGGGAGGCAGCAGUGGGGAAUCUUGGACAAUAGGGGAAACCCUGAUCCAGCGACGCCGCGUGGGUGAUGAAGGCC
rnacentral:rRNA from 1 species